rnacentral:lncRNA from 1 species
UUUUUUUUUGAGCCUGAUGAAGCUAGUUGCCAAUGUGGAAAUGUUAUAAAAACUUAAUUCAUAUAAGUAUGCUAUUAUUAUCUGGAGUAGCUAGAUUUAAUUCCGAUCCUAUAUCUAUAUGUGCAUCUAGAGAGAGCUGGAUCCAGCCUGUAAAUCUCUCUAUUUCAAGAAAGCCAGGUGAUCAUGCAAUCACUUAUCACUUUAAAGACUGGCUUAAUUCCAGGUCCCACACCUUGAUUUUUUUAAAGUCUAGGCCCUGUCUUUGAACCCCAUUCUCCAGUCUUUCAGUUGACUCCAUCGUGAAUAUUAGCCAGCCUGUAAUGGACUCUAAGUGAUUGUCACCAGAUAUAGCAUAUCCCUUGUGCAAUAUGGAAACUUAACUAAAAAUACUAUACCAAAAUCUGUUUUUGUAGCUACUUAACACCAAGUCAUCCAAAAAAAUUGAAUCAGGCUGUUCUUCUAAUCUAUAAAAUUGUGAUUUCAAGUAGGCAAUGUCAUUGGCAAGACUAUUGCAAUCUUCUGG